rnacentral:rRNA from 1 species
CAGUCGCCACGGGAAUACGUAGGGUGCAAGCGUUAAUCGGAAUUACUGGGCGUAAAGCGUGCGCAGGCGGUUUGUUAAGACAGAUGUGAAAUCCCCGGGCUCAACCUGGGAACUGCAUUUGUGACUGGCAAGCUAGAGUCUGGCAGAGGGGGGUGGAAUUCCGCGUGUAGCAGUGAAAUGCGUAGAUAUGCGGAGGAACACCGAUGGCGAAGGCAGCCCCCUGUGCCAACACUGACGCUCAUGCACGAAAGCGUGGGGAGCAAACAGGAUUAGAUACCCGCGUAGUCCCUGUCUCUUAUAC